CUGUUCUGCUGGUUGUCUGUAUGGAAACCUCAAGCUGGGAGACCCAUGGACUGGGACUGCAAGCGGGGGUGAUGAAGAGCUCAGGGUGACAGGAGGAGACCUGCAGCUCCAGGGUGUCUGCCUGGGGUCCUGGCCCAUCACUGUGGUGUAUAUAUGCAUAUGCCUUAGUGCCAUUCCCACUGCCUAAAUAAUCCUCCUUCAAGGGGACAGAUCCUUCUGUAGCAUCCAAGGACACUGUGAAUGGGCGACAUGAUGCCUGAGUGAAUCAGGGAUGCAGCGAUUCCUGCUUCCUGGUGGGAAUUACCUCGCAGCACAAGUUGUGUGUUUUACAGCUGAAUCUGUCAUGCAACGUUUGCAAGCAUCAAAUACGAGCACCCAAGCUGUGAAGCUGCUUUCUGCCAGUCUUUAUACUGAUAUUCCCGGGAAGUGCUUACAAAAGGCUUUCAGAUACAUCAGAUGAUGCUUUCCAUGUUGUCUCCAAUUUGCUUUCUGUUUCUAAGGAAAACUCAGGCUUUCAACUCCUCCUAUCAACUGAAGCAUCCAAACAGAAUUCUAAAGCUCCAAAUGAUUCACUACUUCAUUAAAUGGGGGCAAUAAAGCAGAGUCUCAGGUAGUUCCCCCUCCGUUGUCUCCCUGGCAGCACAGAGCAGCCCACAGAGGCCACAUCCCCAUCCCAUAGUGGGACAUCUGCCAGGCGGGAUCCAGGGCAUGGCAUACACUGGGAUCACACUGCCUCAUCACCGACUGCAUCCAGCUUGUUGUGAUGUUCAUUGACAAGGGCUCCCCUGCAGACAAGCGAUGCUGCUGUGGCGUUGGUCCAAGCCUGGCUCCUCACCUCGCUGCUUUGCUCUAGGCAGGGAAACCAUUAAUAUGACAGAAGUGACCUGCAAUGACUGCUGCUGGAUUAUUUAAUCUGGCCAGGCUCCUUAGCUGCCAUAAGAGAAGACAAACUGCCUGCCUGGUGUUUAAAGGUUUGGGGAUGUAGGAUAGCAUUGAUUCGGUGUGUCUGAGAAGGUGCUGCUCCUUGGGCUUGCUGCCAGCAGGAGUUGAUGACAAAGCACCCGCUGGUGCUGGUCCUCCCCAUCCAUCCUUUGCAACUCAUUUCCACUCAGCAGUGAGUGGCUGGUGGGUGUCAGGGAUAACCCAGGUAGCAGGGAAGAGGUGGGAUGAGGUGAUGGGGAGGAGAGCAUCUCUGCUCCUUGCCCAGCCCUGCCCUGGGCUCCAUGGGCCCCUCUAUGACCACUGUUGCUCUGGGCAGCAACAAGCCAAGCAGAUGGAGCACUUUGCCUCUCGCUGGGAAGCAUUAGAGCCAGUCCUUGGCUCUGGGAUGGGGAGAAGCCUCCCAGCUUCAGGCAUUUAGCCAGCCUGGAGGGCAGCCCGGUCCCUGCGGUGCCGGGCUCGCACCAGAGGCACCUCCUGCUCUCCCAGCACCAUCUCACUUCUUGCCUUGACCCACUGCCCCUAAAACAUCUCCAUCACCCCUGCAGUGAGCUCCUGGGGCUGCCAGCCUGGAGCUGAGGCAAGGCUGGCCACCAGGACCACUUGCCCCCUCCGAAAGCCACAGAGCAGGGGGAUGCAGGGCUCUGCUCCUUGCAGCAUGCUGGCAACCCAAGGUGUCUGCCUCUAAACCAGGGCAAUUACACCUCUGAUCUCGUUUACACACAAAAUAAAACCAAUUCCUUGUUUGUGUUCCCAUCCACAGAUUCCCAGGAAUAGCCCACAGAGGGAAGCUCUGAAGGAAAGCGUGAUUAAUUCUCGGUGGCACUUUUAAACGUCGCUUUUAUUACAAUGCAGCCUUUUCACGCACUUUGCCCUUUUCCAAUUCAUUUUUGCUCUUUUGAGGUGGAACGGGGCUGAUGUUCUGCAGCUCCCUUUUCUCAAGAGCGGUUUUUAACUCUUGAUCUGCUGUGGUAAUGAACCUUCCCUGCUGUGCCUGCAGAAUCAGGGAUGCUCUGGGGAUGCUCCCAGGAGCAGCAGCAUCCUCUGCUCCCCCAGCACAGGACUGGAUGCAGUGGGGUAUAAAGGG